rnacentral:rRNA from 1 species
AUUCCAGCUCCAAUAGCGUAUAUUAAAGUUGUUGCAGUUAAAAAGCUCGUAGUCGGAUUUUGGCAUCACGCCGAACUGUCUGCCGAUUGGUAAGUACGGUUUGGCGGGUGCUUCCUUCCGGAGGCUCGUUCCCUUCUUCAUUGAAGGGUUCGUUGGUUCCGGGUCUUUUACUUUGAGAAAAUUAGAGUGUUCAAAGCAGGCCUAUGCUCUGAAUAGGUUAGCAUGGAAUAAUAGAAUAGGACUUUGGUUCUAUUUUGUUGGUUUCUAGUACUGAAGUAAUGAUUGAUAGGGAUAGUUGGGGGUGCUAGCAUUGAGCGGCCAGAGGUGAAAUUCUUGGAUUCGCUCAAGACUAACUUAUGCGAAAGCAUUCACCAAGGAUGUCUUCAUCA